rnacentral:rRNA from 1 species
AUUGAACGCUGGCGGCAUGCCUUACACAUGCAAGUCGAACGGCAGCACGGGGGCGAACCCUCGGUGGCGAGUGGCGAACGGGUGAGUAAUGCAUCGGAACGUGCCCAGUAGUGGGGAGUAACUAGUCGAAGAUUAGCUAAUACCGCAUACGACCUAUGGGUGGAAAGACGGGGGAGUUCGCAAGAACCUCGCGCUAUCGGAGCGGCC